rnacentral:rRNA from 1 species
UACAGAGGGGGCUAGCGUUGUUCGGAAUUACUGGGCGUAAAGCGUGCGUAGGCUGCUUUCCAAGUCAGGCGUGAAAUCCUGGGGCUUAACCCCAGAACUGCGCUUGAAACUAGAAGGCUUGAGGACGAGAGAGGAUAGUGGAAUUCCUAGUGUAGGAGUGAAAUCCGUAGAUAUUAGGAGGAACACCAGUGGCGAAGGCGGCUAUCUGGCUCGUAUCUGACGCUGAGGCACGAAAUCGUGGGGAGCAAACAGG